rnacentral:rRNA from 1 species
AGUAAAGCGGCGAACGGGUGAGUAACGCGUAUGUAAUCUAUCCUUCGGAUCGGGGUAACCUGCUGAAAGGUGGGCUAAUACCGGAUAAUGUUCUUGUGGGAUUCCCAUAGGAACCAAAGGGGGCGAGCGUAAGCAGCNNNNNNNGAUGGAGGAGCCUGCGUCCGAUUAGCUAGUUGGUGGGGUAACGGCCUACCAAGGCGACGAUCGGUAGCCGGCCUGAGAGGGCGACCGGCCACACUGGAACUGAGACACGGUCCAGACUCCUACGGGAGGCAGCAGUGGGGAAUAUUGCGCAAUGGGCGAAAGCCUGACGCAGCGACGCCGCGUGGGUGAUGAAGGCCUUCGGGUCGUAAAGCCCUGUCUGGUGGAACGAAUGACUUGGCGGCAAAUAACCGCCGAGUGUGACGGUACCACCGAAGGAAGCCCCGGCUAACUACGUGCCAGCAGCCGCGGUAAGACGUAGGGGGCGAGCGUUGUUCGGAUUUACUGGGCGUAAAGCGCGCGUAGGCGGCCAGAUAAGUCGGGUGUGAAAGCCCUCGGCUCAACCGAGGUCCCGAAUCCGAAACUGCUUGGCUGGAGUCUAGGAGAGGAAAGCGGAAUUCCCAGUGUAGCGGUGAAAUGCGUAGAUAUUGGGAGGAACACCGGUGGCGAAGGCGGCUUUCCGGACUAGCACUGACGCUGAGGCGCGAAAGCUAGGGGAGCGAACGGGAUUAGAUACCCCGGUAGUCCUAGCNNNAAACGAUGGGCACUAGGUGUGGGAGGUAUUGACCCCUUCCGCGCCGAAGCUAACGCAUUAAGUG